rnacentral:tRNA from 1 species
GAGUGUAUAGAUCAGUGGUAGAGUGUGUGCUUAGCAUGCACAAGAUCCUGAGUUCAAUUCCCAGUACCUCCA